CCGAGUUGUGGCAACACAAUCUCCCUUUCUUGUUGUCGGUCUGGUUGCCUUGCCUUCGGGCAGGAUUAUUCUGAAUCAGUGUCGUCUGAGUAUUUAUCAAAUAAUACA
rnacentral:misc_RNA from 1 species